rnacentral:misc_RNA from 1 species
GUGUUUCUUCAUCUGGAUCGGGUAAAUGGGUCGUAUGAUUUCUCAGUUGGUCCUACCAUUUCACUUGCUGCUAAUGCUGGGUGUCUCUCUGGCUUCACUAAAUGAUCAUCGCUACAACAUUGGAGAUGAAGUCCCUCUUUUUGUCAACAAAGUUGGUCCUUUGAGUAAUCCCAGUGAAACAUAUCAAUAUUAUGACCUGCCAUUCUGCCAGCCAGGUGAGCUGCUUCCAGAAAAGGAAUCCCUUGGGGAAGUUCUGAAUGGUGACCGUUUAACCAAUACCUUGUAUCAGUUGAAAUUUGGAGUGGAGAAAGAUGGGGUUGUCCUGUGCCACAAGAAGCUUGAUCAAAAUGAUGUCUCAAAGUUCAGGGCUGCUAUUAUUAAAGAUUACUACUACCAGAUGUACUUUGAUGAUCUCCCUUUCUGGGGAUUUGUUGGGAAAAUUGAAGAUGAACUCUGGACCCUGGAUGGAAAGGGCCCCAAGUAUUUUCUCUUUAAGCAUGUCCAAUUUGAUGUCCUUUACAAUGGAAACCAAGUCAUAGAAAUACAUGCUCUCGGUGAUCCAAGCAAUGUUGUGGAUAUAACAGAAGAUAUAGACCUAACUGUUACCUUCACAU